UCUGAACGAUUUAUUUUGAAAAAUGACCAGAUUCUCUCAGUUACAUCCAUCUAUGACUCACUCUUGAUGCAUGUCAAGACGCAGUCACGUGAUACGUCGUUACCACUAAAAAUAAACCCACAAGCUAGCAAAAUGAGUAAAAAACAAACUAUAAAAAACAAACCUCUGGAAAGGGCAAAGGCCCUAGAUGGGACCUUCUCCUUACAAAGAAACAGGCUCAGGGCUCCCACUGAUUCAGUGUUACGAAAAACUGGCUCAAGCCAAAGAGGAGAACCUGGACAUGCAUCAGGUGUUGGACCAAACCCUUCUGGAGCUCAACAAUCUAUAAAGACAUCUUCAGAGCUACACGAGGGACAACCCAAAGGAUAGAACAGAGCAUGACAAAAUCUAAAACCACCGGAGUAUGCCCUUACAAAUGGAAUCUUAAAGUAAAAUCAACGGUUGCUAUUGUUAAAGAAAAAGAAAAGAAAAAGAAAAACAGUAAAUGUGAGGAGUGGUUAACAUGUAAAUCUAUGAAGUGAUAUGAGCAAGAAAAGAGUAGAAUUCAAACGGAAAGCUACUUUGUGUGCACUGCAAAGUGAAUGCACUGCAUAAUUAAUCAGAAAUUAUUCUAUUAUUGCUAAAAAGUUCCUUGCAUGUAUGUAAGUAUCUGGUGUGCACUAGAAAAUCACUCACUGGCACAACUAUGUCAACAUGUCAAGAUCAGAAGCAUUUCUCUUCUUUGUUUACUUAUGUAUCUUGUAAGUCGUAGUUGCUACUGCACUGAAUAACAGUUACUGACAAACCUUUCUCCAUCAUGCAACAUAGUCUAUGCACCUUCUUUUCUUUUUUCUAUUUUUUUUUUUUACAUUUUCCCUUUGUUAAGUUUCAACAACAAACUGGUAGAGAACAAAUUAACAGAAAUUUAAGUGUGUGAGUGAUUGUCCAUCUUAAAAGAUAAAAUAAAUAAAGCUCUGGAAUCUGUGAUACUGACAUCGAACUCUGAAUAAAGGGUUUAUAUAUUGU